rnacentral:hammerhead_ribozyme from 1 species
ACCAGCUGACGAGUUCCACAUAGGACGAAACGCAAGUCCUGGAU